rnacentral:rRNA from 1 species
CCUACGGGAGGCAGCAGUGAGGAAUAUUGGUCAAUGGACGCGAGUCUGACCCAGCCACGUAGCGUGAAGGAUGACUGCCCUCUGGGUUGUAACCUUCUUUUAUAUGGGAAUAAAAUGUUCCAUGUGUGGGAUUUUGUAUGUACCAUAUGACUAAGGAUCGGCUAACUCCGUGCCAGCAGCCGCGGUAAUACGGAGGAUCCGAGCGUUAUCAGGGUUUAUUGGGUGUAAAGGGAGCGUAGGUGGAUUGUUAAGUCAGUUGUGAAAGUUUGCGGCUCAACCGUAAAAUUGCAGUUGAAACUGGCAGUCUUGAGUACAGUAGAGGUGAGCGGAAUUCGUGGUGUAGCGGUGAAAUGCGUAGAUAUCACGAAGAACUCCGAUGGCGAAGGCAGUUCACUGGACUGCAACUGACACUGAGGCUCGAAAGUGUGGGUAUCAAACAGGAUUAGAUACCCCAGUAGUC